GUCCUUUUGAUUAUAAUUUAAGGUCUAACCUGCCCACUGAUUAAUUAAAUGGCCGCGGUAUCUUGACCGUGCAAAGGUAGCAUAAUCAUUAGUUUUUUAAUUGAAAGCUAGAAUGAAUGGUUGAAUAAGAAAAAAUCUGUCUCAGUUUAGAUUUAUUAAAACUUUAUUUUUAAGUGAAAAAGCUUAAAUAUGAUUUAAAGACGAGAAGACCCUAUAGAGUUUUAUAAAAAAUUUAUAUAAAAAUUUAAGUUUAAAAUUUUUUUGUGUAGGGGUUUUAUUUAAUUGGGGUGAUUAAAAAAUUUAAUAAACUUUUUUAUUUUCAUACAUUAAUUUAUGAUUAGUUGAUCCAUUUUAAUGAUUAAAAGAUAAAAUUACCUUAGGGAUAACAGCGUAAUUUUUUUUGAGAGUUCUUAUCGAAAAAAGAGAUUGCGACCUCGAUGUUGGAUUAAAAUUAAUAUUUGGUGAAGAAGCUAAAUUAUUAAGUCUGUUCGACUUUUAAAAUUUUACA
rnacentral:rRNA from 1 species